rnacentral:rRNA from 1 species
GAGGUCGUUCAAAACUGCCUGGCUAGAGGGCGACAGAGGGAGGUGGAAUUCCCGGUGUAGUGGUGAAAUGCGUAGAUAUCGGGAGGAACACCAGUGGCGAAGGCGGCCUCCUGGGUCGCCCCUGACGCUCAGACGCGAAAGCUAGGGGAGCAAACGGGAUUAGAUACCCCGGUAGUCCUAGCUGUAAACGAUGUGAACUUGGCGUUGGUGGGGUCAAAUCCAUCAGUGCCGGAGCUAACGCGAUAAGUUCACCGCCUGGGGACUACGGUCGCAAGAUUAAAACUCAAAGGAAUUGGCGGGGGCUCGCACAAGCAGCGGAGCGUGUGGUUUAAUUCGAUGCUACACGAAGAACCUUACCCGGGUUUGACAUCCAGGUGGUAGGGAACCGAAAGGUGACCGACCCUUCGGGGAGCCUGGACAGGUGCUGCAUGGCUGUCGUCAGCUCGUGUCGUGAGAUGUCCGGUUAAGUCCGGUAACGAGCGCAACCCUUGCUGUAUGUUACAAGUGUCAUAC